AUUGAACGCUGGCGGCAUGCCUUACACAUGCAAGUCGAACGGCAGCACGGGAGCAAUCCUGGUGGCGAGUGGCGAACGGGUGAGUAAUAUAUCGGAACGUGCCCAGUCGUGGGGGAUAACGUAGCGAAAGCUACGCUAAUACCGCAUACGAUCUAUGGAUGAAAGCGGGGGAUCGCAAGACCUCGCGCGAUUGGAGCGGCCGAUAUCAGAUUAGGUAGUUGGUGAGGUAAAGGCUCACCAAGCCGACGAUCUGUAGCUGGUCUGAGAGGACGACCAGCCACACUGGGACGGAGACACGGCCCAGACUCCUACGGGAGGCAGCAGUGGGGAAUUUUGGACAAUGGGCGCAAGCCUGAUCCAGCAAUGCCGCGUGCAGGAUGAAGGCCUUCGGGUUGUAAACUGCUUUUGUACGGAACGAAACGGUGAGCUCUAAUACAGUUUGCUAAUGACGGUACCGUAAGAACAAGCACCGGCUAACUACGUGCCAGCCGCCGCCGUAA
rnacentral:rRNA from 1 species